AUCCCAUGUCUCUGGGCUUAAUUCUCUGUCAGGACUCAUUUGAAGUAGUCAAUCAAUUAGGCUCAACCACUGACCAUAUGCAACUUGUUCUCCUUUGCAGAGAGAAAGAUUUUCAGUUCUUUGGACAAGACUUGGUGAUGGGAUAGCUGGUAAAGGACCUAAAAGACCUUGAGAUUCUGUGAAAUUGAUAGACCAACAUUUGUGGCAGACCCGCUUAGCAAGGGACCAAGCAGGACUGUGGAGUCAUAUAAAGAAUGAUGUCGACAGCUGUGGGGGAGGAACUACAAAACGUCAUUUCCAAAGCACUGCCUGGUCUUCCUGAAGAAAAGAAGGAACAGUUGCUGCAGAGACUUCUUUGCUGGGGUGUGGAGAGCACAGAUGAUCUUAAGUAUGUGGAGGGAGCUCCUGGAGUGGACCUGUCUGAUUUACUCCCACCCAUCCAGAUUCGUAAACUGCUAGACAGCUUUAAGAGAGCUGGAGAACAAAGUCAAUCUGGUGAUGUUCCUCUAGCAAUACCGCCUUCCUCAACUGUCACCUUAGACACCAUGAGCCAGCCAAGCCUUUCUUCAACAGUUACUUGGCCUGAGUCAUUUCAGCUUCCUUGGAACCAAAUGACAAGUGAAUUAUGCAGUGCAGUAGCAAAUGGAAAGAGACCACUCCCCCCUGAUCGACGCAGAAUGAUUCGCAUCAUUGUUAAUGAAAUGAGGAAACAUGAAAAGAAUCCAAGCAAAGCUCAGUGUCGUGCUGUUGCUCUCAAAAUUGUGAAAGACUAUCCAAAAAGCUUUUCUGAUUUAGAUGAUACUCAGGAAAGUAAUGAAAUUGCAUGCUACUCCCUCUUAAAACAAAUAAAAACUCGUGUUGAGCACGUUAAUCGAGAAAAUACUUUAUCACAGAGGCGACGGGGUCAGCGGAGUAUCCGAUGAUACACCUAUUAGAAUGCAAUGCAGAGGACCAACAGCCACAUAUGGCUGUACACAAUAGCAGCCUGAGCCUCCGCUUGCAAAUUCUGAUGAUGCACUCGAGGAGAAGAGACAAACUUUAGAGAACCUGUACCAGCGAUAUGGAAAAGGUGGAGCUGACAGGAGUGAAAUUUGGACCUUAAUGAAGGAAACUUACUAUUUACAAAGAAAGCACAUCAAUCACACACAAGCACCUCCGAUCAAAGACCUUAAAAGCAAAUGGCCAUACCUGUUUGUGCAAAUGCACAUAUAUGCACAUUUUGAAGAGCUUACUGGGAUUGCCAUACACAGAAAGCUCAACCAGUCCAUGCAAGAGUAUGGUAACGUUCUUGUUGACUUUAAGAGCAAACCCACAAAUGUUGUUGUCAAGACAGUCUUGUCCAGCGAAGAAGACGACAUUGGCCCUCUUGUGAUUAAACUUCUCCUUGCACAUUUCCGAGAGGAACCGGGUGGACUUACUACUUCAUGCAGAUAGGUGUGCCACAGCAGAUGACCUUCAAGUGAUGCACACCAUACCUGGGAGCCCACGACUAUUUGUGCUUGGAGACAGUUUGACUACUGGGCACUGGAUGUUGUCAAUUGAAGGCGAGGUUGUGUGUGAGGGCAUUCAGCCCAAUUUCCUGUCUGGCCUUGCCACUCUGUUUGCAUCAUAUUACGUAUUCAAUCUGGAGUACCAGGAAGAAGCAGCGUGUACCUUGGAGUUCAUUCAGAGGCGCUUUGUCUGCAUUAAUCCAGAGAGAGGAACAAAAAUGUCAAAAGGAAAAGUGCCAUCUAAAACAACAGGUCAAAUGGUACAGAAAAAGCAGGUUUCAGUAAAUCCACAUGUUGCUACCCUUCUGUGCAAAGUCAUGGACUUUCAGUGGAAUUUCUAAAACCUACUCUUUGCAUCCUGUUGAUGGAUUACCAUCUGAAGAUGGGUUGUUCUUUGUUUGAUCAGUUUCUUGGACUAAUUUGGGGCAUUGUUGUCUG